rnacentral:rRNA from 1 species
UGUUGGGGUAACGGCCCAACAAGCCGAUAAUCGGUACGGGUUGUGGGAGCAAGAGCCCGGAGUUGGAUUCUGAGACACGAAUCCAGGCCCUACGGGGCGCAGCAGGCGCGAAAACUUUACAAUGCGGGAAACCGUGAUAAGGGAACCUCGAGUGCCUGUAUAUGCAGGCUGUCCAGGUGUCUAAAAAACACCUGAAGAAAGGGCCGGGCAAGACCGGUGCCAGCCGCCGCGGUAAUACCGGCGGCUCGAGUGGUGGCCACUUUUAUUGGGCUUAAAGCGUUCGUAGCUGGGUUGUUAAGUCUCUUGGGAAAUCUGGCGGCUUAACCGUCAGGCGUCCAAGGGAUACUGGCAAUCUUGGAACCGGGAGAGGUGAGGGGUACUUCGGGGGUAGGAGUGAAAUCCUGUAAUCCUCGAGGGACCACCUGUGGCGAAGGCGCCUCACCAGAACGGCUUCGACAGUGAGGGACGAAGGCUGGGGGAGCAAACCGGAUUAGAU